UUUUGAAGAGGGAGACCUUUGAUUAUUCCUAAGAACUACUAUCAGAAAUCUGAUGAGGAGGUGCUGAGAAGUUGUUUCACUAUAUACUGUGAGUCAUUUACAACAUAAGCUGGCAUGACUUUGUAGCCACAUAACAGAAUGGGAUCCGCAUGAGGAUAUCAGGGAAAAGGCCAUGUCUUAUGUCUGGAUCUCACAUUAUUGGAUUAAGUUUGGCUUCAACAAAGACUCUAGUGAUGAUGGCUUCAAAUUGGUUAACUUUCAAGGGUAUUUCUUCCCAGUCAUAAAUACAUUUCAAGACUCAAGGGAAGAGAAAAGGGUGAAAAUGGACAGGGCUAUCUGCUGCCAGCACGGCAGGUGCUUCUGCUCCAAUGCCAGGACUACUUGGCCAUCAGGAUGCUCCUCGGGUCACUCCAGCAGGCAUGAACGGAGGAACAACAGGCACACCAAAUGGCAGGAGGAUGUGGCUGGGUGAGUGGUUUCAGACUUUGCCUGUGCUCCUGGUCCUCAAAGCAUGUGUGUGUUGAGGGAAAGGAAAGAAGGCAUGAGGGAUGGUCUUGUACUCUGUAGUAGGCUUCUGAGUGAGGUUUUUCAAUUUGUCUCCCAAUCCGUGUUUAGAUCCAACUACAGAGUCAAGAAGCAGUAAGACCGCGUUCUAAAGAGAACUGAACACCAUGAAGUCACUCGCCCUGCUCACAGCUUACACAGAGGUGGUAGAAGUGGCCCUUCUAACACUAGCCGUGGCCUCAAACAAGACUUCUGACCCCACCACCUCCCCAGAGGGGACAGAAGGACUUUGUCAGGGCUGUGCUUUGGGGCCCAACACCCCCAGAGAAGAUGGAGCCUGGCAGUCGAGGGGGAGGAGGCAUCCCAGAGGAGUGACUCGGCUCACGGUCCCGCCCCUGCCAUGUCAGGUCCCUCCCCAUACAAAGUCUGGUGAGACGGGAAGUGGACUGAAGAGCUGGACCUGGGCUGCCUGAUGAGCCUCUGAAGCCCGGGAGGUGAGGUGAAUCGGGGCAAGGGGAGUGUGAGAGGACCAGGCCUGGCCUCGGGGGUGGGUACGCAGAAGGACCCUGUCGUGCUCCCAAGGGAUAGCGUUCCCAGCGAGACCGCGUGGAAGGUUCUAGAAAUCGCCACGGAGCAUGCGCCAACGGCGCGUAAGGCGGGCCACAGCCCGAGUUGGGACAUGCACUUCCCCGCGGAGUCUCGCUCUCGGCAGCAGCUCUGGAUUUGGGUGCGAGUGUAUGGUGUGUAGAGAAGCAGGUGGAGGGGUUGCUGAAGUAGUGACGCCUGCUGCGGGUUCAUUGUGGGUAUUAAAACUACCCUGUGUCUCAGUCGUGAACGCUAGUUCAAAAUACAUGACCGUGUAAAAUAAAGUCUCUGGGAGAAAAUAUGCCAACUUGUAAACAGUGGUUAUUUUUAGAAGACAAUUAAGAGUGAUCUUUUUAGUGUUUAAAAAAAAAAGCUGGACUGUCAUUUACUAAUCGAGAGUGAUGAGGCAGUUAUGGCUUGUAAGCUGUCGCUGAAGUGUCCAUUGCAUAGUGAGAAAAAAGAGGUUCAACAAUUGGGACCAGAGAGUGAAAGACAAACAGAACAGUUUCACGUUUUACUCCGCUGAAUUAGGAUUGUUCAAAAAUGCUUACAGUGAAUUUACUAACAGAUUAAGCACCAAGGACCUUACUUACCCCCUGAUAGUAGGCAAGCUACCCUACCCUUUCCUACAAGGGAAAAAAGCCCUGGAGAGAGGACUGUUUCCACAAAUGACUUUGGAGAACCAAAACAAAGGAAAGGGCAUGAAACUGGCCCAACCAUUUUGUGAGCAGAUGAAGUCAAAGAACUUCCACUAGAUUCUUAAGCACUUACACAUUGGAAGGAAGGAGCAAAAGGGGUCCAAUCAAGGAAAUGGCUCCAUGUGCCACGGCAUCAGGGUCCUUUCCUGAUUUAGUGGAGUGGCCAUGGCCUGCAGAUGCAGGAGAGCAUAUCCCAAGCCAAGGCUGACUGGGCAAGCGCCUCCUUGGGCCUUUGGUGUAUCACAGCAAGAGCCACAGAGGGAAGGAGACCUGGAGAGUGCACCCCAGUCUGGCUGGAGGAAAUGGAAAGCUUUCCGUCUUCAGACUCUAUAGACGCCACCUAGUGGGCAAACAACUCGUUCACACUCAGCACGCAACUGUGGCUGGCCCAGUCUCCUGUCAAUGCUUUGCCCUGGCAAAACCUAACCGGAGCCUGUGACAUGUGGUUGACAGGUUGCUGACCCCUUGCAAUCCAGAAGAGUUCCCAGAAAGGCUCUCAGUGGGGUUGAGAGCCAACAGUACACAACCAGCACAAGCGCAUGCUCUGAUGAGAAUGUCUAGAAGCAGUGACACUUCAAUAGCAAGGAACACACCCAGAGCCCGGAUCUUGGUUUUUA